rnacentral:tmRNA from 1 species
GGGGGCGCUCUGGAUUCGACGUUGGUUACAAAGCUAAAGGUGCAUGUCGAGAGUGUAUGAUAAUCUCGUAAAUAAAUAUCAUACAACAUUAUAGUCGCAAACGACGAAAACUACGCACUAGCGGCAUAAGCCCGCUUACACCAGAACUCGGGUGGCUAUAGCCGGGGGACGGUGGCAUCGUCUUAUAGCCUCGCCUCGCGGACUUCGCUCGUAGUCCAACGGGUCAAACUUUAAUCGAGACAGCUCUAAACACCCUGCCCCCCCCCCCCCCC